UACCUCUUCAAGCUCUGCUUGGUGUUGGGUGCUUGCCUAGCUAGGCUCACCUUAAAGAGAUGAGUGCUUGCGAGGCCCGUAAGUAGCGGAGUAGAACCUGCUUCCUAGGGGCUGUUUGGGGCACUGUAAACUUACUUUCACC
rnacentral:misc_RNA from 1 species